ACCAAAACAAAGGGUCUUGGGAAUCACCCAUGUUCAGAAAAGAAUUGGUGUUGGAAGAAGAACAGUCCCAAAACAAGAUGAAGUCAUCGAAAUUCCUCUUCUUAAGAGCCCUGAGCAAAUGCUGCAAGAUCCAGCCAUAUUAGAUCAGGACUUGUUUACUACACAUUGGGUAACAUUUUACCACGAUAUCGGUCGCAGCUGAAAGCAAUACAACUGAUUUCAAUUGCAAGGAGACCUAUAUUUACUGAUUUAAAAGAUGCAGUGUGUAUGUUCAUAAUAAAUAUCAUCACAUUGUGAAAUAUUGCCUAUCAAAUAUUUUUUUGAGAACUAAAAUAUCAUAUCUUUGUCAUAAUAUGUGAUUUAGUUUGUUCAAAAGCAAUUAAAACUGCUAAAAUGCAAAAAA